rnacentral:misc_RNA from 1 species
GUUUGCCACUUGCUCAUUUUCUUUGUGUUUCAUUUGAAAUUUUUACCGUUGUGCAUACUGCGAUCCAUUUAUUUGCUUUUAGAAAAUGAAAAUUUGGAGUAUUUUAUGACUUUUUUUUUCCAUUUGUAAUUUUGCUGCAUGCCAGAUAUGUAUAACUACAGGCACUUCUGUAGGCUUAGAACAGACUUUACUUUGGAUAUUUUAUCACAUAGUUAUUGGACUUUCAUCCUUUUUCCUUUUCAUGGAGGGGAAGGCUGCCUCUCCUAAUGUAUCUAAAGUUCUGGGAACAAUACCAGUGAGUCUAGAUCUCUUGUUGUCCACCCUCAACAUUUUUAUACUAUGAUAUUUUGUUGUACUCUUUUUAUGCUGAUGUUUCCCCAGAGUGGGUUCACUUUCACUUUCCUGUUUAUAGUCUUGUGAACUUAUUGUUGUCAUGGUAUACAUGUCUUUUCAGGGUGUGAAAGUUAUAUACAGAA